rnacentral:tRNA from 1 species
GCCGCCGUAGCUCAGCUGGCAGAGCGACGCUUUCGUAAAGCGUAGGUCGUCAGUUCAAAUCUGACCGGUGGCU